AAAUUGAAGAGUUUGAUCAUGGCUCAGAUUGAACGCUGGCGGCAGGCCUAACACAUGCAAGUCGAACGGUAACAGGAAGCAGCUUGCUGCUUCGCUGACGAGUGGCGGACGGGUGAGUAAUGUCUGGGAAACUGCCUGAUGGAGGGGGAUAACUACUGGAAACGGUGGCUAAUACCGCAUAACGUCGCAAGACCAAAGAGGGGGACCUUCGGGCCUCUUGCCAUCAGAUGUGCCCAGAUGGGAUUAGCUAGUUGGUGAGGUAACGGCUCACCAAGGCGACGAUC
rnacentral:rRNA from 2 species